CCGGGCUCCCCCUGCCCGGCUCCGGGCUCCCCCUGCCCCGCUCCGCCCCGGCGCUCCGGGCACCGCCGCUUCCUCGUGUGACAUCAGGCCCCGCCGGGGCGGGCGGCUCCCCGUGACCCCGAGCCCGGCGAAACCGAAAGCGCCGCGUUUCCACCUGCACCCGGCCCGGCCGGGAACCGCUGCCCGGGGCGGCGGCGGCGGCAGCCUGGGCGCCCGGCAGCGCGGCCGGAGCCGGAGCCGGAGCCGGAGCCGGAGCCGGAGCCGCCGCAUCCGCCCCGCGCCGGGGCCGGGGGAGCCGGGGCAGCUCCGCGGAGCCGCUGGAGCGCGGCGGCCCUGGAGAGAGAGAUUUUUCAAGGGGAUCAGUCACUGCCAGCGCAUCCUCAAGGAGCAACUUGUCGCCUGCCAGAGGCCCAGACCUCCCUCGCUCUGCGGACAUCGUCUGCUGGUUAACUGGACUCCGUGCAGCUGGCUUCGGUUCAUCUGGCCAGUUCCUCAGGGGAGAGACUGUCCCUGAUCCUGCGACGUGCCCCUGAGCAACGAGGACCUACUCCUCGUGCAGUACCUAAAGUACCAUAAGGAAACAAGCCUUCGCUGUAGAGACUGUAAUAUGCUUUUUCCAUCCAUGCUUCUGCAGCACGUUGU
rnacentral:lncRNA from 1 species